rnacentral:rRNA from 1 species
AGAGUUUGAUCCUGGCUCAGGACGAACGCUGGCGGCGUGCUUAACACAUGCAAGUCGAACGAUGAUGCCCUGCUUGCAGGGUGGAUUAGUGGCGAACGGGUGAGUAACACGUGGGUGAUCUGCCCCGCACUUCGGGAUAAGCCUGGGAAACUGGGUCUAAUACCGGAUACGACCCCCUGGUAGGUCAGGGGGUGGAAAGAUUUAUCGGUGUGGGAUGAGCCUGCGGCCUAUCAGCUUGUUGGUGGGGUAAUGGCCUACCAAGGCGUCGACGGGUAGCCGGCCUGAGAGGGUGAUCGGCCACAUUGGGACUGAGACACGGCCCAGACUCCUACGGGAGGCAGCAGUGGGGAAUAUUGCACAAUGGGCGCAAGCCUGAUGCAGCGACGCCGCGUGGGGGAUGACGGCCUUCGGGUUGUAAACUCCUUUCGACAGGGACGAAGCGUUAUAGUGACGGUACCUGUAGAAGAAGCACCGGCUAACUACGUGCCAGCAGCCGCGGUAAUACGUAGGGUGCGAGCGUUGUCCGGAAUUACUGGGCGUAAAGAGCUCGUAGGCGGUUUGUCGCGUCUGCUGUGAAAGCCCGGGGCUUAACCCCGUGGUGUGCAGUGGGUACGGGCAGACUAGAGUGCAGUAGGGGAGACUGGGAUUCCUGGUGUAGCGGUGAAAUGCGCAGAUAUCAGGAGGAACACCGAUGGCGAAGGCAGGUCUCUGGGCUGUUACUGACGCUGAGGAGCGAAAGCAUGGGGAGCGAACAGGAUUAGAUACCCUGGUAGUCCAUGCCCGUAAACGUUGGGCACUAGUGUGGGGGACAUUCCACGUUUUUCGUGCCGCAGCUAACGCAUUAAGCGCCCCGCCUGGGGAGCACGGCCGCAAGGCUAAAACUCAAAGGAAUUGACGG